rnacentral:rRNA from 1 species
UACGAACGGUCCAAACGUUAUUCGGAAUCACUGGGCUUAAAGCGUCCGUAGGCGGCUCGGAAAGUAGGGUGUGAAAUCCCACGGCUCAACCGUGGAAUUGCGCUCUAAACUAUCGAGCUAGAGGGAGAUAGAGGUGAGCGGAACUGAUGGUGGAGCGGUGAAAUGCGUUGAUAUCAUCAGGAACACCGGAGGCGAAGGCGGUUCACUGGGUCUUUUCUGACGCUGAGGGACGAAAGCUAGGGGAGCGAACGGG